AACCAGCAGAUAUUGUGAGCAAUUUUGAUGCAUGGGCAUAUGAUACCAUGUGGGCACUAGCUAUGGCUGCUGAGCAAGUUGGAACUCACUAUCCAGAAGCUUCAUAUCAGGACACAACUGCCGACCUCAAUUCUUCAGACCUAUUCAACCUUCCUAUCUCAAAAAGAGGUCCUAAACUUCUCAAAGCAAUUCUGACGACUAGGUUUAAAGGGCUUAGCGGGAUAUUCCAUCUCGUUGAUGCUAUGGCUGCUGAGCAAGUUGGAACUCACUAUCCAGAAGCUUCAUAUCAGGACACAACUGCCGACCUCAAUUCUUCAGACCUAUUCAACCUUCCUAUCUCAAAAAGAGGUCCUAAACUUCUCAAAGCAAUUCUGACGACUAGGUUUAAAGGGCUUAGCGGGAUAUUCCAUCUCGUUGAUGGAAAAUUGUAUCCAUCGUCAUAUAAAAUACUCAAUGUUGUUGGAAAUGG
rnacentral:lncRNA from 1 species